CGCCGCCUCCCGCUGCCAUGGUAACCCCGGGGAGCGAUGGCGGACGAGGACUCGGGGAGCGUCCGCACCGCGGAGUCCCUGGAGCUCGCAGCCCUGCCCCUGCCCCAGCUGCAGGCCCUGGUGCAGGAGACCAGACACGUCCCAGACGUAAAUCUAAAUCCCGCGCUGCAGCAGAUCGUUUUAUAGGCCUGACAGUGCAACAGAAGAAUGAUCUAGCGCAGCGGGAGCUGGAUGAGAUGAAGGAAGAAAUUCAGAAGACCAAAGGGGAUUCUGAACGGAUUAUACAAAACUACCAGGCUGUCAUGGAAGAAGCAGCUAUUCGGUGGGCUGAUAUUAAGAAAGCCAUGUGCAACUUUAACAAAGACAUUAUCCAAACGAUAUUCAAGAAGAAAGGGAGUGUCACAGCUUCUGAGAAGGUGCUGAGAUACCUUGAGGAGAAGAACCACUACAGGGAUUCAAUGAAAGAAAAAUUGCGUUUGAAAAAUGAUUCUCUCAAAGUGCAGAAGAAAAAGUUGCAGCUGCAGCUCAAGCAGAAGGAAGAGAUGGGCGAGGCACUCCAUGAGGUUGAUUUCCAGCAGCUGAAGAUUGAGAACGCUCAGUUUCUAGAGAAGAUUGAUGAGAGGAACCGGGACCUGCUACAGCUAAAAUUGACAGUGGGAAACACUCUUCAAAUCUUCAAUUCCUACAAAAGAAAGCUGCAGAACGCCACCGCAGCAUCCACCCGCCUGAUGAAGGAUAUCUCCCAGAGGAAGGAGGCACUGGAGAAGAUGGAAAGGGAAACCAUCCUGGUGGAGGAGGAACGAACCAAAGCAAAGGGUGUGAAUAAGCAGCUGCUGCAGCAGCUCUCAGAUUAUAGAGUGCCCCCAGUGGUGAAGUACGUCAAUCAGAAGAUGGCCAUCUAUGACCUGGAAAACAAUAUUAAGAUAUGGGAGAGGAAGGUGGAGAUCGCUGAGGUACAGUAAGACAAGAACUCCCAGAGUCUGUAGUCUGUUGGUGUCUGUGUCCUUCCCUGUACACAGCUGGGGUUUAAAUUCCAGAGGGCACCUAUCUGUGCCCACCCACAUUCAUACGAUUAUGGUGAAGGGGUCUGAUGCUUUUUAUAAACCAGGCAGCAUGAGGCCCAUUUUAGUUGUGGUUUUAACUACAGCAUAAUUGAACAACUCGACGUGCUUCCUGUUUACAAAGCAGCGAGCGUGUCAUAGCCUGAAUGUAUUCAGAGGACAGAGCGUAUCUAACAAUUGAGCUCUGAGGCUGGAACCUAAGGAGUUUUAAGCCAGGACCUGGUUAUUAGUGAGUUAAUAGGAAACAUCAUCAGGUUAUUAUUAUCCUGACCUUUUAAACAACUAUAAAAUACGGAAGAGCAGCAAUGUAAAGUCUCACCUCUGCACAUGUAACCAGUUUGGGCCUUUUCAAACACCCACGCUUGUGAUUGUUUGAAAAUGUUUUGGAUCUACUUUCUGAUCAUCUUCAUGUAACAAGCUCC